rnacentral:rRNA from 1 species
AUUGAACGCUGGCGGCAGGCCUAACACAUGCAAGUCGAACGAGUGGCGGACGGGUGAGUAAUGUCUGGGAAACUGCCCGAUGGAGGGGGAUAACUACUGGAAACGGUAGCUAAUACCGCAUACCAUCGGAUGUGCCCAGAUGGGAUUAGCUAGUAGGUGGGGUAACGGCUCACCUAGGCGACGAUCCCUAGCUGGUCUGAGAGGAUGACCAGCCAAACUGGAACGUGGCCACGGUCCAGAAUCCUAAGGGAGGCAGCAGUGGGGAAUAUUGCAGAAUGGGGGCAAGCCUGAUGCAGCCAUGCCGGGGGUAUGAAGAAGGCCUUCGGGUUUGAAAGGACUUUCAGCGAGGAGGCGUUACUCGCAGAAGAAGCACCGGCUAACUCCGUGCCAGCAGCCGCGGUAAUUC